ensembl:lncRNA
UCUCAAGGACAGGAUGAACCAUCCAGUAGUAGUGCCAUCCCUGGACAUCAACCACCAGCCAUUGUAGACCCUGCAACAAUCCCUAGCCAAGAAGAACAAGAACCAUCAACCACCAGUUCAGUGCCAGACUGAUUUCCUUUUGAUGAGCCAGUGAGUAAUUCCAGUUUGUAUGUGUUAGCUACAGAUGAUGACGCAUGACUAACAGAAACAGGUUUGGUACAUCAACACAGCCAAACAAACAGGAGGCAACUAAAACAGAAGAAGGGCUUUGAGUUUGUCCCAUAGGCUAGCAGGGGCCCGCAGAGCUGAGGGGCUGCCUCUUUGUGAGGAAAUGAUUUUCUCGGUGCUGAGGAGGACACUCCAAAUCAUCUCCAGCAAUCUCAGUAAUGGCCCUGAGACGCCGCUGCCUUUGUCCUGUAAUGGUGACAGAUGACUGGCUGGGCAGACGGGGGCCAUCCAGAUGCCUAGCAAAAACCUCCACGCGUGUGCACACACAAACACUUGCAUAAAUUGCCACUCCACC